GGAUUUGGCCUGGGGAGCAUUUUGGGAGUUUGCCAUUGUUUGGCUUAGGGUAGUGUCUGUGUUCCUUCUGCGUUCGCAAAUUCUGUCCAUCUCAGAAAGAAGAGGGGAGGUGGAGGUCCGCGUCUCCGCGGAAACUUAGCAUGAAGCAGUGUUACGUGUCAAGCUUGGUCAACGUUCAGAGUCGAGUGGAUUAUUGUCUACACGUAUGUUUUCCCUAAAAUAGAUGCAGGCAUGGCUUCGCGGUAGUCCAGAGGCAUUUAGUUCUAGUUCCCUGGAUGGGCACCGUCAGGAAUAAAACUGGGCCUGUUGUGAAUUGUGUGAAUAACCAUAACCGGUGGACAGCUGGUGAGGGGGCCCUCGCCGAAGAAUCAGAUGUCUGUAGUUUAGUUCCCAGCUAGCAGAUUACAGCCCUGCCUGCGGGAUGGAGGAUGAGCUGCUUUGUCAAGGAGAGCUUGUGGCUCCUGAACUGCUGCUUUCCUGCCUCAUAGGUGGAGCUGAUCAGAAUAAUGUUCAACAUCAACCCCCUGGAGAACCUGAAGCUGUACAUCAGCAGUCGGCCUCCCCUGGUGGUCUUUAUGAUCAGUGUAAGCGCUAUGGCAAUAGCUUUCCUGACCUUGGGCUAUUUCUUCAAAAUCAAGGAGAUUAAGUCACCGGAAAUGGCAGAGGACUGGAAUACUUUUCUGCUGCGGUUUAAUGAUUUGGACUUGUGUGUAUCAGAGAAUGAAACAUUAAAGCAUCUUGCAAAUGACACUACAACUCCCGAAAGCACAAUGACCAGUGCACAGACCAGAGUGUCCACCCAGUCCCCACAGGCGCUGGAGGAUUCAGGCCCGGUUAACAUCUCAGUUGCAAUCACCCUCACCCUGGACCCACUCAAACCCUUUGGGGGGUACUCUCGAAAUGUUACCCACCUGUACUCGACCAUUUUAGGGCAUCAGAUUGGACUUUCAGGCAGGGAAGCCCAUGAAGAGAUAAACAUUACCUUUACCCUGCCAGCAGCUUGGAGCUCGGACGACUGUGCCCUUCAUGGUCACUGUGAGCAGGUGGUGUUCACGGCCUGCAUGACCCUCACAGCCAACCCUGGUGUGUUCCCCGUCACAGUACAGCCACCACACUGCGUUCCGGACACAUACAGCAACGCCACGCUCUGGUACAAGAUCUUCACAACUGCCAGAGAUGCCAACACAAAAUAUGCUCAAGAUUACAAUCCUUUCUGGUGUUAUAAGGGGGCCAUUGGAAAAGUCUAUCAUGCUUUAAAUCCCAAGCUUACAGUUAUUGUUCCAGAUGAUGACCGUUCAUUAAUAAAUUUGCAUCUCAUGCACACCAGUUACUUCCUCUUCGUGAUGGUGAUAACAAUGUUUUGCUAUGCGGUUAUCAAGGGCAGACCCAGCAAACUGCGGCAGAGCAGUCCUGACUUUUGUUCUGAGAAGAUCUUGACGUCUAUGUCGUACCAUGUCCAUGACCACAUGACCGGUGCACAGGCCACACACGUGGAGAAGCUGGUAAAUAAAGCCUGGACACAACUACCCUGAAGUGGUGACGACUGGGUUAGAUGCUUGUACCUGCUAGUAGAGGAUUGCUGUGAAGGGGAUGGCUCUACACGCAGUGUGACAGUUUUGGAGACUGGGAAGUUCAAGAUCUACAUUCCCACAAAUUCUAUGUCUGGCGAGGGCCUGCUUUCUGGUUCAUAGACCAGCCAUCUUUUUGCUGUGACGUCACAUGG